rnacentral:lncRNA from 1 species
AGGCUCUACUGUUCCUACAGAAACCUUGUGAGAUAGUUAGUUAUCUUGCCAAAACUCGCAUCUGAUGAUGUCACUCCCUACUGAGAGACUCUUCCCGGGUUCCUGAUGCUUUAGGGUCCAGAUCCCUCCCUCACAUGGUAUGUGUUGCACUUUGUGGUCAGACUCCAGGCUAAUCUUGUCAUUCUGCCCAAGAUUCUCUGUGCCUAGCGGAGAGCAUCAAAGCUAAAACAAAGUCUUCCUCUAAGACCUAGUACUGAACCUUGAGUUCUUGAAACGUCAGGCUCUCCUCUCCUGUAAAAUAGACAUUAUAAUAUUAACUGCUGCCUCAUUUAAAAAACUGUGAAGAUGUAGUGAGACAUUAAAUAGAGACAACAAACCUCAGCAUCUUGUGCCUGGUGCAUGACCAUUGUUGAC